AUGGAAGUUGCAGGAGGCCCAGGAGGCCUGGGUUUCCGGCUCCCUGCGACCCACCCCGGUCCCCCGUACCUGAGCCUCUCCAUCUCCACAGCCCCUGCGGUUCCCGUGGGCUACGGACCAGGUAGGGAAGCGGGCGCUGGGGCCAGACCCCGGGGUUCUGGAGAGGCCCAGAGAAGGGGAGCAGGUCACUCACCUGUUCCCAUCUCUUCUUCAGGCAUUGGUGAGGGCGGGAAGCUGCAGAAGCCAGUUUACAGGAAUGGGCUAGGAGCUGGAGUCUUCCCAGGCCAAGGGGCCCAGCCAGCCCUGGGAAGGGGCAUGAGCCCACUAAAGCCAGGUGAGCCCAUUCCCGCCCCUCCCCCACCUUGCCCUGAGGUUGCCGCUGCUGGAGCCCUCAUACCCGCUUUUCUCCUCAGGCUUUACUCCGGGACUGCAGUUCCCAGCAGGAUACCAGCCCCUGAAUGGCUAUGGACUGGGAACAGAACUGGGAUUUGGUGGUGGCCUCAAGCCUCAGAAAGUUGGUUUUGCUUAUGGGAAUGGUCUGGGAGCUGGGGUCUUCCCUGA
rnacentral:lncRNA from 1 species